rnacentral:lncRNA from 1 species
AACUUUACGGCUUAUCACCAUGUUUAUAUUAAAAAAACAAGAAUGUCCGCACUUGAUUCUUAAUUUUCUUACAAAUAUGGAUCAAAAUCAAUAUGAAAAAUACAAAUCGGAACAACAUCCGCGUGUUAUGUUUUCAUCGAAGUCCAAAAUAUUUUCUCAAUUAAAAUUCAAUCCCAAGAUAUUGAGUGAGUUAAGGGUGCGUUUGACAUACUAAUAUAAAAUAUUAGGAAAAUGAUAUUCUCACAACACUUAAACACAACACUGCCCAGUAUAAAAUCUGAAUUUUGGGAGAAAAAUUGCCACACACGCGCAUGCUCUCUCACGCGUCUCUCUCUGUUCAAUAGCCAACGUUGCUCGAAUUUUGCCAAGUUUCCUCAUCGCGCAGUGUCGGCUCCGAUCUCUCUCACCACGCAGCAGCCAGCAAGUCUCAGCUCUCCUCACGCAACAAUAGUCUCGUCUCCGACAGCUGCCGUAAUCGUCUUGUUAAGGUAACUCAUUUACGUGCUGCUUAUGAGUUGACUGUUAGGGAGCUGAAGCUCAUUGUCUUGUAAUUGCAGCCUUCGUGAUGUUGAGGAAAGUUUAUCCUGUAAUUGCAGCCUCCAUGUUUAUUUGUUUCAAAGAAAGAGUUGCUUUAUAUUACUCAGAUCUUUAUGCUCUGUUAAUAAAUUAUAUUGCCCAUUGUUUCAAUAGAUUUAAAAGAAAAAACACUUACAGCCCACCGACAUUAAGCUUAUGCUAUAAAUAUUACUGAAAGUGAAUCAUUUUUUUUUAUAUAAUUUAAAGUGAACAUUGAGCUUAUUCUAUAAUUAUCACUUAAAUUACAGCCCACGAACAUUUAAAGUGAAUCAAUUUUUCAUUUAUAGCAUAUUUAGCUUGUAUGUGGUUUACUUUAGCAAUCUUUUAUUGUUUCCAGUUAGUUGAUAAGAAAUAUUUUCAUUUUGUAGAAACAAAGAACAUGGCAAAAAUCAUUGAAGUUGAAGAGUUGGAGAAAAUUGAGGAGGACAAGUUAGAGGGUGAUGAGCCAAUGUGUUUUAAGAAUGAAGAAUGCAUAUGUUUGACAUGAUGCAUUUAAACAUUUUCCCCCCUUUAUUGUGCUUUGAAUGAAGUUAACUUGCUUACUAAACUAUGUGGGUUUACUUAAAUCUUUUCUAGCAGUUGUUGCUGGAAAAAUGGCAACUCAGAUUUAAGUUCGCUGGAUUUGUAAUUAACUUCAAUUAAUUUAAUGUGUUACUCAAUGUGUGUUGAGCUUGUACUUGUUCUGGGAUUCCUUUUAUUUCUUUUUGGGUUUAUAAAUACCUUGUUGAGCAUUGCAAAUAAAAGAAGCUGAUAUAUUAAACCCAACUGACAUUAUUAUUUCAAAUAAGAGAAGUUAAUAUUAUUACAAAUAAGAGAAGCUAAUACAUUAGUUAAACAUACAAGUUAAAUAUAAUACAUAUUAACAAAUGUUCAACCACCACAAAUGAACAAAUGGAACUUGAUUUUUGUCUAACCAAUUACAGGCCAAACAUGAUUUUGCGCAAAUAUUCUACCAGCAAAUUCUAAUUCCUCUCUGACAUAAUGGGCCAUCUCAGAAUAAUUGCUCCUUAUUUCAUCUCCGAAUCCCAAACUCUUUGCUCUUGCUUUUCUAAUAAUUUGCAGGCCUUUUCAGUAGACUCACCCAUGAUUUGAUUUGCAUUCUUACCUCCAAAAUCAUUUCAGCGGACAAACUAGCAAGUUGAAAUAUGUCAAUACUUUCAGCAGAUUCGGCUCCUGAAGAGGAAGAACAACACAGAACCAAAAUUAAAUCUUAAGACUGGAGCAAUCUUAAUGCAGUUUCUAUCGGCGUUAGAAGCCAAGAACUAUUAACAAAUUCAAAACCCUGGACAACCAAGUUUGAAAUUAAUGCAAUGCAUUGAAGUAAAUUACCCUAACAAUUCGAUUACGGUAGCUGUCGGAGACGAGACAUCAACGAACUGCGGAGACGGGAUGGGCAAACAACGCCGGCUGUAGAUUUGUUUGGGAGGGGGGAAGGAGAGAGAGGGGGAGUGAGGGAGCAAGGUGCUUGAAACGCGAGAGAGAGAGAACCAAGAUUUGCCGCGUGAGGAAAAACAAAGCGCUGACUUGCUGCGUGGUGAGAAAGAAUGGAGUCGGCGCUGUUGCUACGUGGCGAGGGAGAACAAAGCGAGACGCGUGAGAGAGUUUGUUGAGUGCUUGGGUGGCAAUUAUUCUCCUAAAAAUCAUAUUUUAUUUUGUGCUCAGUUUUGUCCUUAAGUGUUGUGAGAAUAUCAGCGCUGAUUAUAUUAUGUUAUAUUGUAUUAUUUUAAUAUUGAUGUAUUAUAGUAUGUUAUAUUGUAUUAGUAUUAUAUUAUAAUAAUAUUGUAUAAUAUUUGG